rnacentral:sRNA from 1 species
GGCUGUUCCCUCUGAAGGUUAAACCUUCUUAAUUUAAAGGGCCUCGGUUUCCGGUGGCCCUCUUUUUUGUCGGUA